GAAGACUGGAAAAGGUCGGAGAUGGAGUGUUAAUUUCUGCUGGUGUAGAAACUUUUUUUAACCUUAAGUGCGCAUGCCAAAAUAAGAUUGUUAUCAACUUCACCGAGUGAUAUUCAAAUUAGGAUGGUCUUAUCGCUGAACCUACAAUUAGCUCUUCCUCAUUUGCGUGGAGCAGUAGCAGCUGAAAAAGUUCCGAUAGCUCGGUGCGUCUCUCAGGAACCUGUGUCUUCCAAUUUGUUCAAGGACCCCCAACAAAAGAUCCCAGCGAGAAGAAUUCUCCAACAGAUAUAUGAUCAAACUGCUAGCUGCAUAAAAGUCCCACUGUCCACAACUAGAACAAUGAAGAUUUCUCAAAAACUGGCAAGGACAAGCAAGCCACGGGAUAAGAGUGUCCCUCAGCAGGCUGAUAAUCACACUACUAGCCAUGACGAUGGAAGGAGCCUUGCCACUGCCACCAUCCUUGAGUGGCACCACUGCAGUCCAUUCACCAGUAUCGAAAGGCUUCUCGGAUGGUGCUCAACAUGCCGCCUUUUCUGCAAUUCACCAAGAGGCUGGCACAUGGCUUUUUUUUUUUUUUUCAAUAAUUUUUAUUCAGAUUUUCAUAAAACAUACAAGACAAAAUCAUAAAACAUUCAAAGACAAAAAACAAAAUCAAAAAUAGUUAAACAAAAAGAAAAA